CCGCACGAUUCACUCACAACCCCGGGCUUCUUUGAAUUUGUAAAAUCUCCAUGACUAUGGAAGGCCCAAUACUCGUGCUAAAACAGCGACGUCCAAUGUUGGAGUUCAGCCCUAGCUUUCUCUGUCUCCACGGCUGAGCUGUGUCAAAUAGGCGCCAACAUCU